rnacentral:pre_miRNA from 1 species
UUUGUACUCCCUCCAUCCCAAAAUUCUUGUCUUAAAUUUGUCUAAAUACGGAUGUAUCUAGUUACAUUUUAGNUUUAGUGUUAGAUACAUCCGUAUCUAAACAAAUGUAAGACAAGAAUUUUGGGACGGAGGGAAUACUAC